ensembl:lncRNA
CUGUUUUUUAUUUAUUUAUUUAUUUUUUUAAAUUAUUUUUUAAUUUAAUAUGUCUCCUGGCUGUAUUUAAAUAUUUAACUGCAAUAGUGUGAUGAAUUUGAAGUCCCUUGUUUGCUGUGUGUAUUGUACAGCAGGUAGGCUGUAUGUUUGGGGAAACUGCAUGGUGACUGCUAUUGAAUUGAAACGACAACAAAAUUCAUGCCAUGUGCAUAAAUAUUUUAUUCAUAAAUAUGUAAAUCAGUUUACAAAUAAAUUACUAAAGUAUAAACACAUUCCCAUAAAUAAUGUAUUAGUAUAAAGAUAUAUAAAUACAUAUAAAUAUUACAAUACAUUUUUUUUUUUAAAAUAAUUUGCAAACUCCUUCUGGGCACAGCUGUGUAUUUUAUCCAAAAGCUCGUCAAGUGAAACCGUGCUUAGCUCCUCUGGGUAUGAGCAGUUCUGCUGGUGAAACAUACAGAGAUGUUAGAGUUGCUGUGCAUCUGUAGUCAUAUGCAUCACAUUUGCAAUACAAACAAGCAAAUCCAUUUAAAAUUAUAUUGCUAUAAUGGCACAUCCCAGAAUAAAAUGACUUAGUUAUUUAGACCCGUCGUACUUUUUUAUCCGUUUGUAGUUACAUUUAAUGUUGAGGAAUGUCAAAAUAGGUUCGCUCCUGUUAUCAUUUAGUGGCUAUAAACGGUCGUGCCCUUAAAUCUUCUUGAAGACGAAACCAAAUUGCAGCGUGUUAAUGAGAAAUCACGAAACACAAAGCCGUCUGUCCCAAAGAAUUGCUUAUGCAGGACAUCUUAACGUUUAAGCUCUGAUUAGUACCAAGUGCUGACACUGGAGACUCCUUCCAAAAAUGCUAAAUAAACGUCUUCAUACAGAAAACAUGAGCGUGUAUUGAAAAUGUGUUAGAAAGAGCGCGCUGUGAUUUAGCUUACAGACGGAUCAACCUGUCUAGGCUGGGUUGUUAGAGAAACUUCUGACCAAUCAGAAUUGAGGCGCUGUGGUAAAAGGGUGUUGCUUUCUCAAAAUCACAGUCACUUACUUCUGAGUAAGAUUGAAGCAUUCUGUGCAGCCUCCAGUCCCGCUGACUCUUCAGUCCGAGGUCCGAUGUGUUGUAUGCUGUGAGAACCUUCCCUGCUUUGCAGAGCGUCUCACACUAGAAUACACAUAUAAAAGGGCUCAUAUCUUCAGGUUUUCUCAUAUUAAUAUAUCAUUUGAAUGUUAUGUUAAUCAAUUGUAUGCUUGCAUGUUGGUGUUUUACUUACACUGCAUUCUUCAUUCAUAAAAACAUGUUGGACUUGUUUCUGAAGUGUCUGAUUAAAAAAAAAAAAAAAAAAAGGUUAUAUUGUUAGAUUGAGUUUUUAAUCACUGCUGGUCUACAAUUCUAUUAAUCAUACGGGUGAUGUGAAUCUUACCUUCGCUGUUAGGUUCAUUUUCAAGUUUUUCACAUGAUGCAUGAUAUCUUUUAAAAGAUGUUGGCCUUCUUUCUUGCCUUCUUGAGAUUUCCGGUGGCAUUCAUGGUUGGUGAAGUUGACCGCCUUUCCACUUUUCUGCUGAUGUUUGUCUGAUGUAGAUGCCGUAUGAGGUGCUGCAGUAACCACUGCGGUGCUCAGGAAGAAAAAUAUGAAGACGUUCAUGUCGUCGUGCGUGGUUCCAGUCUAUUUGCCUGGUUUUGAGUUUUCAAGUUCAGUUUACUCGGUGCUGUCACUGUCUUUUAUACCAUACCGCCUCUCUUCUCUUAUAGAGGUCAAGAUUUUGUGAAGUGGUGCAGUGGAUCUGGAGCCUCUCCUAGGAACACUGGAGACGAGGUGGUAAUACACCCUGGAAGUGAUGCCACUCUGUCGUUCACUAGGUAUGUAAUCAAAUAUGAAUACGUACUCGGAAUGAACAGAUAAUAUGUUCUGUAUGGAUAAAAUACAGAUGCAAAAAUGAGGUGUUUUUUUUUUCCCCUUUGCGACUAGAUGUAUGCAUCGGGACUGGGAUCUCACAGGAUUCACCAGGAGGGAAACUUAAAUAUGUUAUGUAGCUUCUGAAGGGCGGUACUAAAUGAAAUAAAUUAAGAUCUUUAAACAAAAUAAUAAUAAUUCACACCAAUUAUCCUGUUCAAUUUUUUUUGUUGAGCUUUUGAACGUUUGCACCUUUUGUAACAGUUGUGUCCCUCAGUUGUCCUCAGUGUGAAAAGAUGGAUCUGAUCAUCAUAUAGUCGCUGUUGGAAAGUGUUCAGAUAUGUAGAAGAUGCUGGAAAAUGAAAGAAUGUGCAGGACCUGGAGGAUUUCUCUGAAGAACACUAUAAAGCACCUAUAAAGCACUAAAUGGUCUCGCGCCACAAUAUCUAAGCGACCUUUUGGUUUUCUAUGAUCCGCCACGCCUACUUAGAUCAAAAGAUGCAGGCUAUCUGACGGUACCUCGAAUAGUGAAGGCUACAGCAGGGGGAAGAGCUUUCGCUUAUAGAGCCCCACAGUUAUGGAACAGUCUUCCUA